UCUGUUUUCUUUUCUCAAGUGAAAAAUGCAGAAAAAGUAUCAUACUCCCAUGUACGAAAGUAGUUUAACUGCCUUGGAACACUUCUACAAUAAGCCCCUAGAGGCUUCUUUUUCUUUUCUCUCCCCCACUUUCUUUUAUUUUUUUCCUAGCAAAUAGUUGGCCAUUUCCUUACUUCUGCUUAUCUGCAUAGACACAAAAAUUCAGGUCUCGCUUCGUUCUACAAAAAAUUUGAUUUCUUACACUGAAAUAAUUCUAAUUUCUUACCUAGCUUGAUAGAAGACGGGUAAAUACUCUAAAAUGCUUAGUUAAUUAUUUGAUUUCUGAAUCAAGUUUUGCCUCUUGGGCUCGGUUCUUCCACCUGUGUAACCCUUUUAAUGAUGUUAUUUCAGUUCAAGCCUAAGUUUGACAACCUCUUGCAAUUUUGCUUUAUUCUACAAAUGAGCAGGUGCUUGAUGUCUAUUUGAAGUGAUUUUGAAGCCAGACUUCUUUCUACUGAGUACUGAGCAUGGAGGUUUCACCUUAAGUUGGAGGUAGAGCAAUUUCAGACAAUGUGUUAUUUUUAAGUUGUUUAUACUCUGCCAUCUACUGAAGUAUGUAUAUAUUUUUUUUCUAUUGAACUUUGACAACCAAGAAGGAGGCAUGGUAAAUCCUAAGGAUUAUCAAUUUUUAAUGCUACAUUUUUGUAAGAAUGACAGUAAAAUAAAAUAAGUAAAAAAUGCAGAGAUAACUAUGCUGAGAUCAUUAUGCUAGAGAGCUGGUAGAGAAAAACUUACGCCAUUAAACUCCAGUGCUUUAAAGCUGUAUUUUUGUCUCCAGAUUUCUAUAUAUGGGAAAAGCCUCUGAUGACACCAAAACUCUCUGAAACAGAAAGUUGAGCGGAUUCAGCUUUGAUUCUAUUGAGGCUUGAACUGAUUUGAAAGAAAGUCAGGAUCAACUAUAAACUGGAAAGGCAAAGGACAAUAGAACGGGGCACUUCAUCACUGGCUGUGGUGGUGAAAUUAUUCUCAGCAUUUUGUCCAACACGUAGAUCAUGCCCAAGAAGUCUUAUCACUGUUAAGUACUGCCAUCUCCCUCUUGUAGCAUAAUGUUUUUUUUAAGUGAGGAGCACGAAAGGAUGGCUCAAGAAACAGAAGAGAUCAGUAACACAAGUUUAAAGGGACUUUAAGCCUACCUCAGCAGCAGUCUCAGUUACUUCACUCUGAUAACACUGGUUGCUCUAAGGGUUGACUUAAUUUCAUAACCACUUUUUAAGUUUCGUGGGCUAAAGGCGUAUUCACUUGAAAAAUGAUCCAGAAAGACCUGAAGAAUAAGAACCUGCAGUAAAAGUGAAAACAAAUGACAUUAAGAGUCCAGAAAUAGAAACCAAUCUCAGCAACAGUCAAUGGGCCUUCCUGGCAUUUCUCCCAUGCUCAGAUGGCAUCCGUAACAAUUUAGGUAUGACUGUUACAUAUUUGUAAUUGAUGGUUCUCUCCUGUAACAUACGAGCAGUUCCUUCUAAUCCCACCCUGUGGUGAAAUAAUAUUGAACUGUCUUAAGAAAGAGAGGGGAACAAAUUAGAACCAAGUAAAAGAAAUGCUAUUUUUCAUGGCCAGUUGGCACUGAUGAAAUUCACUGUAACAGAAGGUCACAGAGUUUAAUACUGUCUUUUUCUUAAUGUUAUUUUCUUAAAAAUCUGAAAGAACUCUUAGGAAUUAGGAAUUGAACAAACAACUUCCCAAAGAUAAUUCAUGAAGGUUGGUUAAGCUGAUCUCAGAUCUGUUUGCAUGGCCAAUCAGCUAGGAGAAAGAGAAUAACAUUUUCCACAUGAAGCUUUAGGUAAGUGAAAGGCACGUGAGACUUCUGUAUUUAUGUCUUUCCUCAGAAGCUCAGGUCUCAAGUACAUAAAGGAGCAGAGCGUUACGUGUAGACAAGAGGAACCAUGCAUCAGAUGGACACAUUUUGUUUUCCUGCUGCAUUCGUUUUACAAGAAUAUCUUUCCUUCGUUGCUUCUCUAGUGGUUGCACUAACAUGUAGCACUGCAAGAGAUGAUUAGAAGAAAUAUUAAGCGCAUCAACCAUUAACCUUGUAGGUAGACUGCUAGGAAGAAGACGAUUCCCUGUUGUUAAAAAAAAAAAAAUAAAAAAAAUUGGUCUGUAUUGAUCCUUCUCUGCGGAUUCUAAUGGUGGAGCUGAAGUGAUGCUGACAUAACUGAGAGUAUUUUGGGAGGGAAAUUGUAGUGAAAGAAGAGGAGCUAAAAACCAUGAAAUUUAAGUGUCCAGUGAGCCUAGGGCAGCAUUCCUGAUGUCCCAGGAAAUGUGCUCAUAACUUAUUAAAGUUUGCAUUGGCUCAGGUCUGAUUAAUAGAGUCCUUUUUAGAAUAAUAUUUCCACAGGAUCAGUAAAUUCUGUUCUGGAUUUUUUUUUUCCUGAUUUCAACUUUCUGUAAGAGCUUAGCAUAUAUUGAUUAGAGGAGACCAUUAUCCUUUUUCAAUUUUCUUUUUUAAUACCUUGAACAAAUUAUGUAGCACAAGAUUUUUCACUUUCUUUGUAUAGAUGACACCAGUUUGUGGUUAUAAUGAAUAAGAAUUGAAGAGAAUGAAAGGUAGGAAGUACUAAUGAUUUUAUCUCUGUGGGGGAUGCAUAUUAUGUCAAUAAUGUGUUCAUUAUUUAAAGUGAAUUUACUUAAAUUUAUGUUUUAAUUUUACUUCAAUCUCAUUCUUUUCAAGCUUUCAGGCAGUGUUCUUUGCUACUGAAAUUAUUAUUCAGAACUAUACUUAAAAAGCAUUUUUAUUAGAUAGAGGGUAUUUGUGAACUACAAACUCUUGGCUGUGCCUUCUGUCCUGUUAAGUAUGUCCACAUUCUUAAGUGAAAAUUUCCAUUUAGUGUGGCCAAUUCAGGGUACAUUUGCUGGAUGCUUUAAGUAGUCUUUAAGGAUAGCUGGCUGCUAGAUAAGGCCUCAGAAUUCUUAGUAUUAUCUAAACUGAGGAUUAAAAAGUUUCAGUUUUCCAAAGGUUUUCAUUACAUUUCCUACUCUGUCUGCUCUGCAUUGUACAUUAUUAAAGAGUACUGCUCUGACAUGCCCCCCAAAGAAGCAAAUUAACAUUUCUUGUGAACUCUGUUCUUUUGUGGAGAAGUAAUAAUGACUCAAGCAACUCCAGAAGUUUUUCAGAUGAAUCAGAAUUUAUUACUCGUAAAAUUAAUGCCCACUGCACUCACUGAUAUUGUGCAUGAACUAUCAUUUAUGAAAAAAAAAAAACCCACACCUUUUUGUACAAUUUACUGUUAUUGGUAACAGUGACUUGCAUCGAGGAUGUGAACAAAUGCAUCAUGUGAAGGACUCUUGCUCUAGCUUUUGUUCUCUUCUGUAUCCCUUUCUUUUGUCUCAUAAUAUUAGUCAAUUUCUUACAUCUUUUAGAAGAGACACAGGCUAGCCAUUGAAAAGGGGAUGCCUGCCUUGAGUUCUCAGGAUCUGGUUUGAAGCCUGUAUUCACCCGCCAGUGUGGUUGUAGAAGUAGAAAUUAUUGCUGGCAGUUUAUUUACGGAUUUGAUUAUAGAGUAGUCAUAGAAUCUUAGAAUUGUUUAAGUUGGAAAGGAUCUUUAAAGGUCAUCUAGUCCAACUUCCCUGCAAUGAACAGGAACCCCUACAGCACUAUCAGGUUGCUUAGAGCCCGUUCCUACCUGAACUUGACUCUUUCCAAGGAUAGGCCUUCCACCACCUCUCCGGGUAAUCUGUUCCAGUGACUCACUACCCUUAUAAUAAAAAACAAAAACAAAAACAAAAAACACUUUUUCCUCAUAUCCAGUCUAAAUCUUUCU